AGGCAAGACUUUCUGAAAGGCAUCCAAAAAGCUUGCAACUAAGAGAAACUGUGACAAAUCUCAGUCAUCUCUAGAGAGAGCAGGUUCUUGUCAAGGAAAGGAGUGGAGGAGACCGAAUGCCAACAGCCAGAAGAUCUCUAGAGGGAACAGCAAGUCUUUCUGUCAAGAAAACCCCUUUCUCUGUGGACUGUUGGAGGACAAGAAUAAAAUUGUGUUUGAUUCUAUCCACUUUAAAUAAACACACUUGGGCAGUCAUAACAGGGAAAGUUUAGCAAGGACAGGCCCCGUUCCACGCACCCCACAGUAAGAGAGAUGAACCAACUGGUUGGUAAGAACCAGCUGAAGAGUGCUCAGAGAAGAGUGGUGAGAAACAAAGAGAUGUGGAAAUUUCCCAUGAAGAGAUUUGUAUAGCAUUGUGGUUGCUUAGAUGUGAGAAGAUUGUGGAAGGGGCACUGCAGCAGUGUUCAAGCAAAAAUAUUGUCUAAGUCCAUUAUGAAUAAAUUGUGAAGAAAAUUACAUACUUAAAUAACUUUCUGAUGGUAAAGAUAGUUAGAGUCUGAAUAAACUGUAUUGCAAGAUUUUGAAAUAGCUAUCAUUAAUCUCACCUUUUGACAGGAAAAUGAUUGGGAUUAUAAAAUGC